CGGCGGUUUCCUAGGCCCGCGGGCCGCUGCCCAAGGCCAGGCUCUCCGGGAGUCGCGGGGUGCCCAGCCCAGCCCACCCCGCGGGAGCCCCGCGUCGGGGGACUGGUGCGGAAGCUCCGCAAGUAGAAAGUACCAGCCCCGCCCCGUGUGUGUGCACGACAAGGGGCAGACGCUGAGGGCGCCUUUCCCCGCGCUCUCUCCGAGCUCCUUCGGCCCCAGACUGCCCGGGCUGCGCCGGCUGCACCCCCCUGCGCUUAGCUGGGUGCGGGGGGCUCGGAGCAGCCCGGCCGGGGGAGGCCGCUGUGCGCGGGGCAGCCUGGCCUAGCCCCGCUCCCAACGCAGCGCAUAGCGGGGGGAGGGAGCGAGCAGCCGGGACGGGUUAGUGAAAAACCUCCCGUGUCAAUUCGGGUCCGCGGCGGCCUCCUCGCCGGGCCGCGGCCGAGCCCUUCACCCACUCGGGGCGGGGGCCGCAGAACAGCCCCCGGGGAGCUCGGCGCCUCGGCUUCAGCCCUGUCCUGGCGGCCUGAGGGGAGGUUCUGCCGGGCGGAGCGGGGCCGCCCUCCCCUUAAGAGGCUCCUGCGGGCAGGGGGCUGGCAUCGCCCCAGAGCCGGCUCUCGGAGCCCAGCCCUGGCUCUCAUUGGACUGCGCCGCGGAGCAAAGCUGUCAGCCCAUGUGGCGUGGCCGCCGGAGGUGGCGGCUGCUUAAAUAGCGCUGGGAGCCGCUGGGAGGCAGCGACACGAGCACGGAGCAGGGCCGGUGUGACAGCCUCGCGUCCCGGCACAGCCCGCCGCCCGCGUGCCGCAGCCACCCCCCCGCACGGGCGCUGAGAACGGCUCCGGCGGCCCCGCCUCUAGACACGGGCCGGCUCCGCGGCAGUGCGCGCUCCGAGGCCGGCUCCAGCCACUCUGCCCAGCGCGGGCCCUUCAGUCACCGGCGCCGGGAGCCAGAGAGAAGUUAGGAGAUGGAGGACGUGGUGAUUGCAGGCAUGGCAGGAAAGCUGCCAGAAUCAGAGAACAUGCAAGAGUUCUGGGAGAAUUUAUUCAAUGGAGUGGACAUGGUCACGAAGAUGAUCGGAGGUGGAAGCCAGGACUUUAUGGGCUGCCCAGGAGAAAUGGGAAACUCAAGGACAUCAGCAAAUUUGAUGCUUCUUUUUUUGGGGUACACCCCAAACAAGCUCACACAAUGGACCCUCAGCUCCGCUUACUAUUGGAAGCGUCUUAUGAA